rnacentral:rRNA from 1 species
ACGCACGCUGGCGGCGUGCUUAACACAUGCCAGUCGCACGGAAAGGCCCUGCUUUUGUGGGGUGCUCGAGUGGCGAACGGGUGAGUAACACGUGAGUAACCUGCCCUUGACUUUGGGAUAACUUCAGGAAACUGGGGCUAAUACCGGAUAGGAGCUCCUGCUGCAUGGUGGGGGUUGGAAAGUUUCGGCGGUUGGGGAUGGACUCGCGGCUUAUCAGCUUGUUGGUGGGGUAGUGGCUUACCAAGGCUUUGACGGGUAGCCGGCCUGAGAGGGUGACCGGCCACAUUGGGACUGAGAUACGGCCCAGACUCCUACGGGAGGCAGCAGUGGGGAAUAGUGCACAAUGGGCGGAAGCCUGAUGCAGCAACGCCGCGUGCGGGAUGACGGCCUUCGGGUUGUAAACCGCUUUCGCCUGUGACGAAGCGUGAGUGACGGUAAUGGGUAAAGAAGCACCGGCUAACUACGUG